GACGAACGCUGGCGGCGUGCUUAACACAUGCAAGUCUAACGACGUGGCGAACGGGUGAGUAAUACGUGGGUAACCUUCCCUCCUUUUUGGGAUAAGCCUUUGAAACGGGGUCUAAUACCGACUAUAGGGGGAUGGGCUCGGGGCCUAUCAGCUUGUUGGUGGGGUGAUGGCCUACCUAGGCGGUGAUGGGUAGCCGGCCUGAGAGGGUGACCUGGCACUGUGGGACGGAGAUACGGCCCAGAAGCCUAAGGGGUGGAGCAGUGGGGGAUAUUGGACAAUGUGCGAAAGCCUGAUGCAGCGACGCCGCGUGGGGGAUGAAGGCUGUCGGGUUGUAAACCUCUUUCGCUAGCGAACGGGUAGGUGGAGAAGAAGCGCCGGAUAACUACGUGCCAGCAGCCGCGGUAAUAC
rnacentral:rRNA from 1 species